AGCCCGCGAGAGAAAAUGGCGGCGGCGGCGGGGAAUCGCGCCUCGUCGUCGGGAUUCCCGGGCGCCGGGGCGGCGAGCCCCGAGGCGGGCGGCGGCGGAGGGGCUCUCAAGGCGAGCAGCGCGCCCGCGGCAGCCGCGGGACUGCUGCGGGAGGCGGGCAGCGGGGGCCGCGAGCGGGCUGACUGGCGGCGGCGGCAGCUGCGCAAAGUGCGGAGUGUGGAGCUGGACCAGCUACCGGAGCCGCCGCUCUUCCUCGCCGCCUCGCCGUCGUCCUCUUCCACUUCCCCGUCGCCGGAGCCCUCGGACCCGGCGGCGGGCGGGAGUGGUUUCCAGCCUGUGGCGGUGCCGCAGCCUCACGGAGUCGCGAACCGUGGCAGCGCCCACCCUCUGGAGCCCGCGGCCGCCCAGGACAGCGGCGCCCCGAGCCCCGCCGGGGCCGAGCCCGGGGAGAAGCGGACGCCCGCCGCCGAGCCGCCUCCUGCAGCGGCCCCCGCCGGUCGUGAGAUGGAGAGUAAAGAAACUCUCAAGGGCUUGCACAAGAUGGACGAUCGCCCAGAAGAACGAAUGAUCAGGGAGAAACUAAAGGCAACCUGUAUGCCAGCCUGGAAGCAUGAGUGGCUGGAAAGGAGAAACAGGAGAGGCCCUGUGGUGGUAAAACCAAUCCCUAUUAAAGGAGAUGGUUCUGAAAUUCACAACUUGGCAACUGAGUCACAAGGAGAGGGCCAGGCAAGCACCACGUCACCCGCUCCCAAAGGCCGACGUAGUCCUUCUCCUGGCAGCUCCCCAUCAGGUCGCUCAGUGAAGUCGGAAUCUCCAGGAGUUCGGAGAAAAAGAGUUUCCCCAGUGCCUUUUCAGAGUGGGCGAAUCACACCACCUCGAAGAGCCCCUUCACCAGAUGGCUUCUCACCAUAUAGCCCUGAGGAGACAAACCGCCGUGUAAACAAAGUUAUGCGGGCCAGGCUGUACUUACUGCAACAAAUAGGACCUAACUCUUUCCUGAUUGGAGGAGACAGCCCAGACAACAAAUACCGGGUGUUUAUCGGGCCUCAGAACUGCAGCUGUGGCCGUGGAACUUUUUGUAUUCAUCUGUUGUUUGUUAUGCUCCGGGUGUUUCAACUAGAACCUUCAGACCCAAUGUUAUGGAGAAAAACCUUAAAGAAUUUUGAGGUUGAAAGUUUGUUCCAGAAAUAUCACAGUAGGCGUAGCUCAAGGAUCAAAGCUCCAUCUCGUAACACCAUCCAGAAGUUUGUUUCACGCAUGUCAAAUUCCCAUACAUUGUCAUCAUCUAGUACUUCUACAUCUAGUUCAGAAAACAGUAUAAAAGAUGAGGAGGAACAGAUGUGUCCUAUUUGCUUGUUGGGCAUGCUUGAUGAAGAGAGUCUUACCGUGUGUGAAGAUGGCUGCAGGAACAAGCUGCAUCAUCACUGCAUGUCAAUCUGGGCAGAAGAAUGUAGAAGAAAUAGAGAACCUUUAAUAUGUCCCCUUUGUAGGUCUAAGUGGAGAUCUCAUGAUUUCUACAGCCACGAGCUGUCAAGCCCUGUGGAUUCCCCUUCUUCCCUGCGAGCUGCACAGCAGCAAACCAUACAUCAGCAACCUUUGGCUGGAUCCCAACGGAGGAGUCAGGAGAGCAAUUUUAACCUUAUGCAUUAUGGAACUCAGCAGAUUCCCCCUGCUUACAAAGAUUUAGCUGAGCCAUGGAUUCAGGUAUUUGGAAUGGAACUCGUUGGCUGCUUAUUUUCUAGAAACUGGAAUGUAAGAGAGAUGGCUCUCAGGCGUCUUUCCCACGAUGUUAGUGGGGCUCUGCUAUUGGCAAAUGGGGAGAGCACUGGAAAUUCUGGGAGCAAUGGUAGAAGCAGCCCAAGUGCUGGAGCCAGUGGGUCUUCCCAGACCAGUAUCUCAGGAGACGUGGUAGAGGCAUGCUGCAACGUUUUGUCAAUGGUCUGUGCUGACCCUGUCUACAAAGUGUACGUUGCUGCUUUAAAAACGUUGAGAGCCAUGCUAGUAUAUACUCCUUGCCAUAGUUUGGCAGAAAGAAUCAAACUGCAGAGACUUCUCCGGCCAGUUGUAGACACCAUCCUAGUCAAGUGUGCAGAUGCCAAUAGUCGUACAAGUCAGCUGUCUAUAUCGACACUGUUGGAAUUAUGCAAAGGCCAAGCAGGAGAGUUGGCAGUUGGCAGAGAAAUACUUAAAGCUGGAUCCAUUGGUAUUGGUGGUGUUGAUUAUGUCUUAAGUUGUAUUCUUGGAAACCAAACUGAAUCAAACAACUGGCAAGAACUUCUGGGCCGCCUUUGUCUUAUAGACAGACUGCUCUUGGAAUUUCCUGCUGAAUUUUACCCUCAUAUUGUCAGUACUGAUGUUUCACAAGCUGAGCCUGUUGAUGUCAGGUAUAAAAAGCUGCUGUCCCUCUUAACCUUUGCUUUGCAGUCCAUUGAUAAUUCCCACUCAAUGGUUGGUAAACUCUCCCGAAGGAUAUAUCUGAGUUCCGCAAGAAUGGUUACUGCAGUCCCCCACGUAUUUUCAAAACUAUUAGAAAUGCUGAAUGUUUCCAGUUCCACUCAUUUUACCAGGAUGCGUCGUCGUUUGAUGGCUAUUGCAGAUGAGGUGGAAAUUGCUGAGGCCAUCCAGUUGGGCGUAGGAGACACUUUGGAGGGUCGACAUGACAGCUUUUUACAGGCGGCUGUCCCAACCAGUUACCCAGAAACCACAGAGAACAGCUCCCUUGAGCGCACAGACCAUUUAGAGAAAACUGGAAAAGGACUAUGUGCUACAAAACUGAGUGCCACUUCAGAGGACAUUACUGACAGACUGGGCAGCAUUUCACUAGGACUUCCCAGUUCAACAACAAUGGAGCAACCAAAGCCAAUGGUUCAAACAAAAGGCAGACCCCACAGUCAGUGUUUGAACACCUCUCCUUUAUCUCAUCAUUCCCCAUUAAUGUUUCCACCCUUGUCAGCUCCUUCUUCAUCUGCCCCCUCUGCACCAACUGGCACUGGAACGGAUGUCUCUAAGCACAGACCUCAGGGAUUCGUUCCCUGCAAAAUACCUUCUGCAUCUCCUCAAACACAGCGCAAAUUUUCUCUACAGUUCCAGAGAAACUGUUCGGAAAACAGAGACUCAGAUAAAUCUUCCCCCAUCUUUACUCAGUCCAGACCCCUGCCCUCUAGUAAUAUACACAGGCCAAAGCCAUCUCGACCUUCCCCAGGUAAUACAAGUAAACAGGGAGAGGCCUCAAAGAAUAGUAUGACACUUGAUUUGAACAGUAGUGCCAAAUGUGAUGACAGCUUUGGCAGCAGCAAUAGCAGUAAUGCUGUCAUACCCAGUGAUGAGACAGUGUUCACCCCAGUAGAAGAGAAAUGCAGAUUAGAUGUCAAUACAGAGCUCAACUCCAGUAUUGAGGACCUUCUUGAAGCAUCUAUGCCUUCAGGUGAUACAACAGUAACUUUUAAGUCAGAAGUUGCUGUGCUCUCCCCUGAAAAGGAUGAAAAUGAUGAUACCUACAAAGAUGACGUGAAUCAUAAUCAGAAAUGCAAAGAAAAGAUGGAAGCUGAAGAAGAAGAAGCUUUAGCAAUUGCCAUGGCAAUGUCAGCGUCUCAGGAUGCCCUCCCCAUAGUUCCUCAACUACAAGUUGAAAAUGGAGAAGAUAUCAUCAUUAUUCAACAGGAUACACCAGAAACUCUACCAGGACAUACCAAAGCAAAACAACCUUACAGAGAAGACACUGAAUGGCUGAAAGGUCAGCAGAUAGGCCUUGGAGCAUUUUCUUCCUGUUACCAGGCUCAAGAUGUGGGAACUGGAACAUUAAUGGCUGUUAAACAGGUGACCUAUGUCAGAAAUACAUCUUCUGAGCAAGAGGAAGUAGUGGAAGCAUUAAGAGAAGAGAUCAGAAUGAUGAGCCAUUUGAAUCAUCCCAACAUCAUUAGAAUGUUGGGAGCCACGUGUGAGAAAAGCAAUUAUAAUCUCUUCAUCGAAUGGAUGGCAGGGGGAUCUGUGGCUCAUUUGCUCAGUAAAUACGGAGCCUUCAAGGAAUCAGUAGUUAUUAACUAUACUGAACAGUUACUUCGUGGCCUUUCAUAUCUCCAUGAAAACCAGAUCAUUCAUAGAGAUGUCAAAGGUGCCAAUUUGCUAAUUGACAGCACAGGUCAGAGACUGAGAAUUGCAGAUUUCGGAGCUGCAGCCAGGUUGGCAUCAAAAGGAACUGGUGCAGGAGAGUUUCAGGGACAGUUAUUGGGGACAAUUGCAUUUAUGGCACCUGAGGUACUAAGAGGUCAGCAGUAUGGUAGGAGCUGUGACGUAUGGAGUGUUGGCUGUGCCAUUAUAGAAAUGGCUUGUGCUAAACCACCUUGGAAUGCAGAAAAACACUCCAAUCAUCUUGCUUUGAUAUUUAAGAUUGCAAGUGCAACUACUGCUCCAUCGAUCCCUUCACACUUGUCUCCUGGUUUACGAGAUGUGGCUCUUCGGUGUUUAGAACUUCAACCUCAGGACAGACCUCCGUCAAGAGAGCUACUGAAGCAUCCAGUCUUCCGUACGACUUGGUAGCCAAUUAUAGACUCUGAUGGAGACAGGAUGCUCAACAAGGCAAAACUUUUGUGGGGAACCACGCUGAUAAUCUGCUGGCCUUCAUGCCACUGAACAGCUAUGAACAGGACCAGUGGGGAACCCUUACCUAAGUUAAGUAUAAAUUAAGUGAAAAUCAACUAUUCUCUGUGAUGCAGCUCAAAACCAAGAUCAAGAUGACCUUGAAAUUUGAUUUUUUUAAUGUAUUGGUUUCUUUUAUAGGAAACAUCACACCUUUGAAGUCUUACUUUGUAUGUAACAAUCCAUCAUUCAUCAUCCAUCACCACUAAUAAUAUUAAACUGCUAUUUUCCUUCUACCAUGCAUUAUCUCUUUACAGUAGGCGUGGCUGAUAAUUAAAGAAAUUAACUAAUAACUACCAAUGAGUAAUAGUGUUUUUACAAAAUAAAUUUUCUUGGAACUCUGAAAACAUGUUCAGAAAGAAAAGUGAAAUUGAAUUUGACUUACACCCUAAUUCUUGGAUUUUGCUCAAUUAUCUAAUGGUUUUCAUCAGAGUUGAAUUCACAUGCAUGGAAUCCUGAAGGAAAAUGGCAGCUCUUUUAUCCUUUUUUUGCGACUCUUUAAAUAUUUAAUAAAACUUUUUGAGAUGAGAAGUUUUAACUCUUCAGAAGCCAGUUGAAUUAUUGCAGAGUGAAACAAUUGGUUAUUCUCAAAGACUCAGGAUAAACUAAAUAAGCUAUACAGAGUACAUUUUAAAUGUACAUCACAAAUUGGAAGUAAAAUAAGUUACAAGAUAAGUUUACAGAGAUAUAUUGCAUAUAAUUUUUAAAAGGCAGGUGUUUUUUUUU